rnacentral:rRNA from 1 species
CUCGCAGCUACCAUGCAAGUCGAGCGGGGUUUUCGGACCUAGCGGCGGACGGGUGAGUAAUGCGUAGGAAGCUGCCCGAUAGAGGGGGAUACCAGUUGGAAACGACUGUUAAUACCGCAUAAUGUCUACGGACCAAAGUGUGGGACCUUCGGGCCACAUGCUAUCGGAUGCGCCUACGUGGGAUUAGCUAGUUGGUGAGGUAAUGGCUCACCAAGGCGACGAUCUCUAGCUGGUUUGAGAGGAUGAUCAGCCACACUGGAACUGAGACACGGUCCAGACUCCUACGGGAGGCAGCAGUGGGGAAUAUUGGACAAUGGGCGCAAGCCUGAUCCAGCCAUGCCGCGUGUGUGAAGAAGGCCUUCGGGUUGUAAAGCACUUUCAGCGAGGAGGAAGGGAUGUAUGUUAAUAGCAUGCAUUUUUGACGUUACUCGCAGAAGAAGCACCGGCUAACUCUGUGCCAGCAGCCGCGGUAAUACAGAGGGUGCAAGCGUUAAUCGGAAUUACUGGGCGUAAAGCGCACGUAGGCGGUUUUUUAAGUCAGAUGUGAAAGCCCCGGGCUCAACCUGGGAAUUGCAUUUGAAACUGGGGAACUAGAGUGUGUGAGAGGGGGGUAGAAUUCCAAGUGUAGCGGUGAAAUGCGUAGAGAUUUGGAGGAAUACCAGUGGCGAAGGCGGCCCCCUGGCACAACACUGACGCUCAGGUGCGAAAGCGUGGGGAGCAAACAGGAUUAGAUACCCUGGUAGUCCACGCCGUAAACGAUGUCUACUAGCUGUUCGUGUCCUUGUGAUGUGAGUAGCGCAGCUAACGCACUAAGUAGACCGCCUGGGGAGUACGGUCGCAAGAUUAAAACUCAAAUGAAUUGACGGGGGCCCGCACAAGCGGUGGAGCAUGUGGUUUAAUUCGACGCAACGCGAAGA